CCAAUAGCGUAUAUUAAAGUUGUUGCAGUUAAAAAGCUCGUAGUUGAAUUUCGGGGUUAGUAGGUUGGUCAUGCCUCUGGUAUGUACUGGUCUCACUGAUUCCUCCUUCCUGAUGAGCCGUAAUGCCAUUAAUUUGGUGUUGCGGGGAAUUUGGACUGUUACUUUGAAAAAAUUAGAGUGUUUAAAGCAAGCUAACGCUUGAAUACAUUAGCAUGGAAUAAUGAAAUAGGACGUUUGAUUCUAUUUUGUUGGUUUCUAGGAUCGACGUAAUGAUUAAUAGGGAUAGUUGGGGGCAUUAGUAUUCAAUUGUCAGAGGUGAAAUUCUUGGAUUUAUUGAAGACUAACUACUGCGAAAGCAUUUGCCAAGGAUGUUUUCAUUAAUCAAGAACGAAAGUUAGGGGAUCGAAGACGAUCAGAUACCGUCGUAGUCUUAACCAUAAACUAUGCCGACUAGGGAUCGGAUGAUGUUAAUUUUUUAAUGACUCAUUCGGCGCCUUACG
rnacentral:rRNA from 1 species